rnacentral:rRNA from 1 species
ACUCUUGGCGGUGGAUCACUCGGCACGUGUGUCGAUGAAACGCAGCUAGCUGCGAGAAUUAGUGUGAAUUGCAGAACACAUUGAUCAACACUUCGAACGCACCAUGCAGCCCCGGGUUCUUCCCGGGUUAUGCCUGUCUGAGGGUUGCUUGUACAUCAAUCGCCCGGGGUUCCCUCCGAGGGGCAUGGCUGGGGACUGUUGCAGGGACCCCGUUCCCUUCGUCCCCCUAAGGUCAGACUCCGAUCAGCACCGUCGCAGGAUCCCUGGAUCUGUCGCGCAGGCUUAUUCCCAGCCUCAUGCGGGUUUCGGGAGGGCUGGGUGGCCAGCGUGCCCCAGAUAUGGUGGUGGAGGCGGGCCUUAAAAAAGCCUGGCACACCUUCACCCUACCCUGGGGCACCUGGCCAUGCUGUGUGUGGCUGUAUGUGGUGUCCCGUGGCUGCCGCCGCAGGAUGACCAUGGAGCAUGGGACUUGUUACCAUGUGGGCUUCGGCCGCAGAUCAGGACAGCGCACAUUCUGCUGCUCCAGAGGCACAGGGCUGGGGCAACCCUCCACCCCCGUACGGGCAUGAGGCCAGCUGCCCGAGCUUUGUGCUCCCCUGACUACUGCCUCAGAUCAGACGUGGCGACCUGCUGAAUUUAAGCAUAUUACUAAGUGGAGGAAAAUAAACUAACCAGGAUUCCCUCAGUAACGGCCAGUGAAUAGGGAAGAGCCCAGGCAUGGGAAAACUGGCGUGCAGAAGACUGAUUCCCCGGCAUCGCUCAUGGGGCUCAAGUCCUUCUGAUCGAGUCACACCUCGCUGACAGUGUUAGGCCGGUAGCGGCCUCUGGCCUGCUGGGAUCAGGUCUUCUUGUAGUCAGGUUGCUUGGGAAUGCAGCAAAAAGCAGGUGGUAAACUCCAUCUAAGGCUAAAUACGGGCACAAGACAGAUGGCUAACAAGUACCAUAAGAGAAAGUUGAAAAGAACUUUGAAGGAGCAGUUUCAAGAGGGCGUGAAACCAUUGAGAGUUAAAUUGGUGGGGUCCAUGCAGUCCACCUGCAGGAUUCAACACGGCAGGUAGAUGGGUCGCCUGGAACGGUGAAUGCCUUGCGGGACUGCGGCCCGGGCAGACCAGACCCUGUAGGCACAUUUCCUCUGUGACAGUGCACUGCGACUGGCUGGCAAGGCCCCAGGGGGAGGUGGCUCUCUGCUACAGCAGAGAGUGUUACAGCCCCCUGACAGCAGUUUUGCUGGGUCUGCAGAGCCGAGGGAGAUUGACCGCUGCCGUGCCCUUCUCCAGCAACCGUCCUGGCCCUCUUGGGGUUCGCCGGGCAGCGACGGGAGACAGGGCUCCCAAUGCGACUGUGGCGGACUGCCCUCAGUACGCCCCGACCACGUCGUGCGGCUGGGUGGGCAGGCCACAAAGGGCACCAUAGGUCUGAGGUGAUGUUGGUUAACCACCGGCCUGUCUUGAAACACGGGCUAAGGAGUCUUAAUACAUGCGCGAGUCGAAGGGCCAAAUGAAACCCUACGGUGGCCAUGGAAGUCAUAAUAAUAAUAAUAAUAAUAAUAAAUAAUAAUAAUAUGCUAAGGAGCCCCGGGGAGAGUUCUCUUUUCUUUUGUGAAGGGCAGGGCACCCUGGAAUGGGUUCACCCUGAGAGAGCGUCCCAAGACUUGGAAAGCGUUGCGGUUACGGCAGUGAGCUCUCGCUGGUCUUUGAAAAUCCGGGGGAGAUGGUGUAAUCUCGCGCCGGGCCGUACCCAUAUAUGCAGCAGGUCUCCAAGGUGAACAGCCUCUGGCAUGCCGGGCUGUAUCCAUAUCCGCAGCAGGUCUCCAAGGUGAACAGCCUCUGGCAUGCCAGGGAGUACCUAUAUCCGCAGCAGGUCUCCAAGGUGAACAGCCUCUGGCAUGUUGGAAUGUAGGAAAGGGAAGUCGACAAGUCAGAUCCGUAACUUCGGGAUAAGGAUUGGCUCUAAGGGCUGGGGUGCAAAGCAGGGCUGGGCGUGCGCUGCGGCUGGACGAGGCGUCUCACCCUGCCUCCCCCCAUGGGGUGGUGCCGAAUCUGGAUGCGAGCCGGGCCCUGCCUGUGGAUCGCCCCAGCUGCAGUGGUCGCCUCUAUCCAUUCCCCUCACAGGGUUCGGAGCCGACGUUCUGCCUCUGCCGACGCCUUGCAGCUGACUUGGAACUGGUGCGGACCAGGGGAAUUUGACUGUUUAAUUAAAACAGCAUUGCGAAGGCCUGCGGUGGGUGUUGACGCAAUGUGAUUUCUGCCCAGUGCUCUGAAUGUCAAAGUGAAGAAAUUCAAUGAAGCGCGGGUAAACGACAGGAGUAAUUAUGGCUCUUAAGGUAGUCAAAUGCCUCGUCAUCUAAUUAGUGAUGCGCAUGAAUGGAUGAACGAGAUUCCCACUGUUCCUACCUACUAUCUAGCGAAACCACAGCCAAGGGAACGGGCUUGGCAGAAUCUGCAGGGAAAUAAGACCCAGUUGAGCUUGUCUCUAGUCUGGCACUGUGAAGGGACAUGCAAGGUGUAGGAUAAGUGGGAGGCCCUCUGGCCGCCGGUGACAUACCACUACUCUUAACAUUUUUUCACUUACCCGGUGAGGUGGGGGCCAAGCCCCAUGGGGCUCUCACUUCUGGCGACUGGCGCCCACCCUCCGUGACCCGCUCCGGGGACAGUGGCAGUUGGGGAGUUUGACUGCGGCGGUAAACCUGUCAAACAAUAAUGCAGGUGUCCUAAGGCGAACUAAGGGAGGACAGAAACCGCACGCGGAGGAGAAGGGCAAAAGCUCACUUCAUCUCAAUUUUUCAGUAUGAAUACAGACCUUGAAAGUGGGGUCUCAUGAUCCUUCUGACCUUUUGGGUUUCAAGCAGGAGGUGUCAGAAAUGUUACCACAGGGAUAGCUGGCUUGUGGCGGCCAAGCGUUCAUAGUGACGUAGCUUUUUGAUCAAUGUCAUCUUUUCCUAUCAUUGUGUAGCAGAAUUCACCAAGCGUUGGAUUGGGCACCCACUAAUAGGGAACAUGAGGUGGGUUUAGACCUUUGUGGGACAGGUUAGUUUUACUCUACUGAUGAUGUGUUGUUUCAAUAGUAAUCCUGCUCAGUGCAAAAGGAACCGCAAGUUCAGCCAUUUGGUGUAUGUGCUUGGCUGAGGAGUCAAUGGGGCAAAGCUACCAUCUGUGGGAUUAUGACUGAACGCCUCUAAGUCAGAAUCCCCCCUAAACCGUAACGAUACUGCAUCGCUGUCGAGCUUCAGUUGGCCCAGGAUAGCUGGUCUCUGGGCCGGUGCAUAGAGCCGUUCGCCUCGGGAUUCGAGUGUGGGCAGAAGGGGGCCACCACUCUCGAUCGUAGUGUACCGC